rnacentral:rRNA from 1 species
AUUGAACGCUGGCGGCAUGCCUAACACAUGCAAGUCGAGCGGAUGAAGGGAGCUUGCUCCUGGAUUCAGCGGCGGACGGGUGAGUAAUGCCUAGGAAUCUGCCUUGUAGUGGGGGAUAACGUCCGGAAACGGGCGCUAAUACCGCAUACGUCCUGAGGUAGAAAGUGGGUGAUCUUCGGACCUCACGCUAUCAGAUGAGCCUAGGUCGGAUUAGCUAGUUGGUGGGGUAAAGGCCUACCAAGGCUACGAUCCGUAACUGGUCUGAGAGGAUGAUCAGUCACACUGGAACUGAGACACGGUCCAGACUCCUACGGGAGGCAGCAGUGGGGAAUAUUGGGCAAUGGACGAAAGCCUGAUCCAGCCAUGCCGCGUGUGUGAAGAAGGUCUUCGGAUUGUAAAGCACUUUAAGUUGGGAGGAAGGGCAGUAAGUUAAUACCUUGCUGUUUUGACGUUACCAACAGAAUAAGCACCGGCUAACUUCGUG